rnacentral:rRNA from 1 species
GUGAAAACUGGGGAAAUGGNCUCCAUUAAAAUCCAGUUAUCGUAUUAUUUGAUAAUACCUUACUACUUGGAUAACCGUGGUAAUUUCUAGAGCUAAUACAUGCUAAAAAUCCCGACUUCGGAAGGGAUGUGUUUAUUAGAUAAAAAAGCCAAUGCCCUUACGGGGCUUCUGGUGAUUGCAUGAUAACUUUACGGAUCGCAUAGCCUUGCGCUGGCGACGGUUCAUUCAAAUUUCUGCCCUAUCCAACUUUCGAUGGUAAGGUAUUGGCUUACCAUGGUUUCCAACGGGUAAACGGGGAAUUAGGGUUCGAUUCCCGGAGAGGGAGCCUGAGAAACGGCUACCACAUCCAAGGAAGGCAGCAGGCGCGCAAAUUACCCAAUCCCGACACGGGGAGGUAGUGACAAUAAAUACUGAUACAGGGCUCUUUUGGGUCUUGUAAUUGGAAUGAGUACAAUUUAAACCUCUUAACGAGGAACAAUUGGAGGGCAAGUCCUGGU